ACCUUCUCGGUCAAAAUGGAAGCGCAUGAUUGGCUGCUGAUGUGGAAGCAUGAAGUCAGCUGCUGGAAGAUUUGCUAACAGGGCACUCGGACUGUAUGUCUCACCGACGCACAAACUGUACACAGAGACAACGGAACACAUCUGAAAAUGCAUCGCAGUAACUCUGAUAUCCAGUUGGAGACCAAUGGAGACAUAAAUAACCAAAAUCACAAGGAUAUGGUUGAUGUGUGCCACAAUACCAGCUUGCCCUCUGGCUGGAUCAGAGAGAUGAGAAUGCGGAGAACUGGCAAGACAGCAGGCAAACUGGACGUCUACAUCACAAGUCCCCAAGGGCACAGGUUCCGGUCAAGAGCAUCCCUGCAGGCAUUUCUACUCAAAAAUGAAGAAAACUUAGACAUCAAGCUUUUUGAUUUCUCCACAUCCAAAGAUGGUAAUGAUAAUUCUUCCCAAUUACUGGCCUCUCAAGGGAAACAAAGGAGAGCAAAGAAAGAGAACGUCAAAAGGCAUCUGGAAACAACAGAAGGUGCAGAAGGAUUAUUUCCUCCACCUCAAAAUAAGUCUAAAGUAAUGUCUUCUUUUGGGAGCGAUACUAAAGGGGAAGAGGUAAAGCAAACGGAAGAUGCCAACAAUAUUCUGACUGACAUUUUAACAGAAAACAGCCUGGAUGUGAUGGAAAGCGGGGCUGAAAAUACUGAUGAGAUGUUGAAGUGCUGCUUACAGGCUGUACCUGCACCUUCAACCACAGCAGAUGGUGUGAAACAGCGUAACAGCCCUCAGAGAACAGGGCUGCUCAAAGAUAAGCUCCUCAAACUAGUUCAGUUACACAUGCCACACAACACUCUGAGUGUUGUGCAGGACGCUGAGGCGCAGCCUUCACCUACAACUCUGAAAGCUGAACCUGCACCCGACACUGAGAAUCAGGGUGACAAUGAACAAGAUGGAGAUGAGAUGAAGAUUCACACAGAAGGUGUCAAUGAGCCUAAUCCUGAACUGGAUGGUGAUGCUGACAGUCAGCGGGACGUGGAAGAAGAGUUGUUGAUACCUGACAUUACUGGCAGGCACUGCACACCAGAGCGAGAUUCCCAGAAUAGUAAAAUCCCCCAUGUGUUUUUUGUGUUUCUAGAAUCCAAAAGUUUGAAAGACAACCGCAAAACAAGCCCUUACUUCAGCAGGAAACCCGGCCUGAGCCCACCCAGGAGGAAGACCUUCAAGAAGUGGACCCCCCCGCGUUCUCCCUUUAACCUGGUGCAGGAAACCCUUUUCCAUGACCCCUGGAAGCUCCUGGUUGCUACAAUUUUUCUCAACAAGACCAGUGGAAAGAUGGCCAUUCCAGUGCUGUGGCAGUUCUUUGAGCGUUACACAUCUGCAGAAGUGACCCGGAAGGCCGACUGGAAACCCAUUUCUGAACUCAUGACGCCUCUGGGCUUAUAUGAGCUUCGAGCCAAAAUAAUCAUCCGUUUCUCAGGUGAAUGGAUUAAAAUGAAUAUUUAACUAAACAGUGGCGUUACCCCAUUGAGCUGCAUGGUAUCGGGAAGUAUGGCAACGACUCCUACAGGAUCUUUUGCCUCGGAGAGUGGAGACUGGUGACACCUGAAGAUCACAUGUUAAACAAGUAUCAUGCCUGGCUGUGGGAGAAUCACGAGACACUGGGUAUCUGAACUAAGUCUGAACAGUUUGCAAGGAACAAGAAAA